UCUCCGUUGGUGAACCAGCGGAGGGAUCAUUACUGAAAUCGCAAGAUCCCACAACCCUGUGAACCUACCGGCACCGUGCCUCGGCGGGUGCCCGGCCUCUUCGCCGGGCGCUGCGCCCGCCGGCGGCCCCCUACACUGUCCCUCCAGCUUGGCAUCUGAGAGUCCCAUAAAACAAGGCUAAACUUUCAACAACGGAUCUCUUGGCUCUA
rnacentral:misc_RNA from 1 species